UUCUCAUCGUCCCGCUUCGUCAAUUUCGUCGGCCCUUAUGGGCCUGGCCCAAUUUCACAGACUCGUUUCUUUCUCCCCACUCACGACCAAACAACGAACAGAAUCGCAUCACAUCUAGGUUAUCGUUUCUUUGUCGGUCCAUCUCCGGCAGGCGGCGCCGCGUACCUCCUUCGGCUGGAGUGAAGGAACCCCCGUCUUGCCGGUAGGGGCGCUACCGGUGGCGAGUUGGUUCAGCACACACGAGGUUCUGCACGGUGGUGUGAGAUGCAGGGCGCGUGGUACCUCGAGGUUAUGGAAGCUCGUCCCCACGGUACUCACCUCAGCCCGCCCUUCCUUCUCAAGCAGGAGUUCGCUGCCGACCGCCUCCAUUGGAUUCAUCACCCAGCAGUCUGGAGGGGAAAAUGAGAAGAAUGAUAGAAACUGAAUCACCUAUAGAUGAGGCUUCGCUUGCUAAGCUGGUUCCUGAGGUGGACAUGGAAUUUGAGAGGAAAUAUCAUAUGAAUUCUACAAUAAAUAUGCUGGGCAUAUUGGUUUUAGUGUUCGAAAAAGCACAUCGCAUAAAUCUACUGAAAAUAUUACCAAAGUAAGGACUUUUGUGUGCUCAAGAGAGGGUUACAACAGGGAUAAGACUUCAUUGGAAGCCAAGAAGCCAAGGUUAGAUAUAAGAAUUGGCUGUCCAGCACGGUUGAUUAUUAAAAUCACACUAGAGUGUAAAUAUGGACUCACUGAUUUUAAAGAAGAGCACAAUCAUCAGCUGACCCUCCUUCGACGAUGCAUAUACUAAGGUCACAGAGGAUAUUGAUGGAACUUCAGUCUGGGGAAACAGAACUGUCAGAUGAUUCUGUAGUGACACCAACUACAAAAGCAACUGGUGAUCUUGUUGUGAGACAAGUUGGUUUCCUUCGAAAUAUUUCCCUCCUCCUAGCAGAUUAUAAGAAUUAUCUCCAUUCAAAGCGCAUGAAGACGAUGCAACCUGGCGAUGGUGGAGCCAUAUUGAAAUAUUUGCAGACUAUGCAAAUGGAUAACCCCUCGUUCUUUUAUACCGUGCAUAUUGAUGAGGAUGACAAGCUAACCAACUUUUUUUGGCAGAUCCAAAAUCUAGAAAUGACUUCAACUACUUCAGCGAUGUGCUCUGUCUAGACACAACAUACAAGAUAAAUGGAUAUGGCAGGCCAUUGACAUUAUUCCUUGGCGUGAAUCAUCACAGGCAAACAAUUAAUUUUGGUGCAACUUUCCUCUAUGAUGAAUCAUUUGAGUCGUUUAAGUGGCUGUUAGAGAGUUUUAAGAUCGCCAUGCAUGGAAACAGCCAGCGGUAGCUUUAAUAGAUCAAUCUAUUCAGUUGAGUAGUGCAAUGGCUGCAGCCUGGCCAAAUACUACUCAACAAGUUUGUGCUUGGCAUGUAUAUCAGAAUUAUAAAGAAAAGUUGUUGUACAUGUGAGAAAGCUUCAGUUCCCUUGUCACGUGGAUGCUCAAACUUGUCGUAUUAUGUAUUUAUUUUUUCAAAUGAGUAUGCAGUUGUUGUACAUCUAUUGUUGCACCAUUUAACUAUUCUAUACUACCUCAUACAGUCAUGUUUCUUUUUGGUUUAUUAGUGAGACAAAGUAAUGCAUGUAUUCUUAUCUAAUACAAGUAUUAUAUGCUAAGACCGUAGCGACCAUAUUAGUUUUUUUUGUUCUGAUGCUUAUCUGCUCAUUGGUUCUUUAAUUUCCUUUGACAUUUUACCUGUGGCAAAUGUAAUGGAUUCGAGGUAUAUUUAGACUGAUCGCUUAAAUUGGUGUUUCUUUAUGUAGAUUGAUGCUUUCAGAAUUAUACUAGGAGGGCUGGACGAGGUUUUAGGAAAUAGCAGAGGUGUCGUCGAGGACAUGAGAGAUGAGACAGAGAAAGGAGGCCAUUUAGUACUCCAUGCUUGGGUAGAUCAAGAAUGUGCAAGAAAUCGAGCCUGGUAUCCAUGACCAGGUCACUGGUCAGACAAGACAAAUGCAUUUUGGCAACUGGAAUUUGAUUAUGGUGAAGUAUCAAGUGAAAUCAACAAGUGUUGCAGACCUACCAGCUCAAGACAUAGCAGGGGGCCCGCGACAAGAGGCGAGCUCACGCGGCGCGACAAGAGGCGAGAGGUCGCCCGCCGGCGCGAGGCUCUGAGCUCCACUGCGAGGCCAACGAGGCUGCGAGGAGCGCCGGGGAAGCUGCUGGUGCGAGCGCGGGAGGCCUGCUGGUGCAAAGCUGGAGCCCAAGCGCGCGAUUCCGCCGGCGAGAGGCUAAGAUCGAUCCGGGAUCGGGGAUCCAUUGGCGCGUUUUCGAAAUAGGAAGGAUGGAUAUUUAAAAAAUGUUUUCAACUAGACUUCCGACACCUAAAACACCUAAAAUGUGAUGGAGGGAGUAGUAUUGUUUAGUUGGUUGUUAAAAUAUUCCACCAACUCGGGAUUUUAAGUUUGUUGAUGUUUACCAGAAAUUUAUCCUAUUCAUCAUAUAGUUAACGCCCCUCGUUUUCCCCACUUUUA